rnacentral:pre_miRNA from 1 species
CAGGUACUCCCUCCGUUCUAAAUUACUCGUCACAGAAAUGGAUGUAUCUAGAACUAAAAUACAUCUAGAUACAUCCAUAUCUGCGACAAGUAAUUCGGAACGGAGGGAGUAUAUA